rnacentral:sRNA from 1 species
GCCCAAAUCGCACGUGCCUGUGGUCGUGGUCGAUUGGUGGGGAUCCGGACAAGAGGCCGGUUAACCACCUUAAAAGGAUCGACAGCCGGAGGCGAACCGGCGAACCCCGCCAAACGGGGAACGCGACUUAAAGCAACGACGGACCGGGCUUUU